GGAUUGAAGGAUACAAAGUAUUGAUCCUCAGUGUGUCUGUGAGGGUGUUGCCCAAAAAGAUUACCAUUUCAGUCAGUGGGCUGGGAAAGGCAGAUCCACCCUUAAUCUGGGUAGGCACAAUCUAAUCAGAAGGCUGAAAAAUGUGAAAAGAGAGACAGGCUUAAACUCCCAGCCUACAUCUUUCUCCUGUGCUGGAUGCCUCCUGCCUUCGAACAUUAAACUCCAAGUUCUUCAGUUUUGGAACUCAGACUGGCUCUCCUUGCUUCUCAGCCUGCAGACAGACUAUUGUGGGACCUUGUGAUUGUGUUAUGCCACAGCAAGAAGACUCUCACCAGAUGCCAGUGCCAUGUUGUUGGACUUCCCAGCCUCCAGAACUUUCAGAGACACCCCUGCCCCCAGAUUCAUACUCCAGGCUGGGAGCCACUGGCAUAACUGAUGGAUGAAAGGAAGAGAAGAAUGAACACAGAGAGAUUGGAGGUGGAGAAUGAGAGCAGGCUUGGAAGGAAUGAGAUCCAGCAUUAGAAGGGAGAGAUGUAUCUUUCCCUGUGACUUGGUUUCCCCAUUCAAGGAAGAGGAAGUAGGUGGGUACAGCACAUAUUAGGUCAUCAGGAAAGCAGGUAAGGAAGCUUUCCUCAGAUGGCCUCAGAGUGAAUGAAUGGAUAAAUGAAAGCAAGAGGUUGUUUUAAGCAAGUAAGGGAGAAACCCGGAUGUUACAGGAAACCUAAGGAGAGAAGUUCCAGAACUGAUCUGAGGACUGAGCCAGGGAGUCCAGGAGAGCAGAGGCCAGGGGCUAGAUGGAGCGGGUGAGCAUCCAUUUCUGCUGGCCAGGCUGGUUCACCUGGGGACUUUCUUCAGAAAUUCUGUGCUGCAGGAGGAGACAGUAGAUUGAAGUGACAGCCUAGUGGGUGGAUUCUUUGAAAGCUGAGGAGGAGUGAGAAGCCUUGUGCGUGGGUCAAAAAAAAUAAAAAAAUAAAAAAAUAAAUAAAUAAAGGCUAAAUGGUAGAUUUCUGAGUGGAGAGUGUGUUUGAAGGGGCCCAGGGAGGGGACUAACACAUGGUGAAAUGGCAGAUGCUGAAUCCUUGAAGACUUCAGGUUCAGGGGAUUUGCAAAUCGCAAAAGCAACAAGAAAGGACGAGGGGAUCCAAGGUGCACUCGGGGUCUUAAGGAUGUUGCUCAUUUAACACAGUU